CUACUUUCAGAACGAGAGAGAGCAGAGCCAAACACGCACCCUGCAAUGGUUAGCAACUGAGCAAGGUCGUCUCAUGUUGCGAUUGGCCUAAGAAAAGAUGCCACACUGCUUCCCACAUUCAUCAUGCGCCUAACAGUUGCAGUGUUGCUUCAUACCCAUUGUCCCCACCACCACCACCACCACCACCACCAUCACAUUAGCUUUGGACAUAAUCAUAUCAAUCUAUCAUGCACAGCACAUAUUCAGGAUGAUGAUCGAACUUGCUCGUAGAAUCUAGUGACUGUUCAGGCGUGCAACUCCUUUCUACAACGUUCGUCACUAGAUUCCUGGAGAAAGCGAGAGAGAGAGAGAAUAAAAAAGUCAAGAAAGGAAAAGAGAAUUGCCCUCCCAACUCCAAAAGCUUAGACCCCACCACACCGACAAACAAGUACCCAUCAGAAAUAAAGGCAACCACUCGUCACCCUUUGGAGGAAUAUAAAUGUAGCAUUCACAUUGCGAAGGACUCAUCCGAGACUCUUUCGUCUCGUCUGAAGCUUGCACAGGCGACAACUAGUGCAGG